rnacentral:rRNA from 1 species
CAGUAGCCGCGGUAAUACGAAGGGUGCAAGCGUUAAUCGGAAUUACUGGGCGUAAAGCGUGCGUAGGCGGUUUGUUAAGUCUGUUGUGAAAUCCCCGGGCUCAACCUGGGAAUGGCAAUGGAUACUGGCAAGCUAGAGUGUGUCAGAGGAUGGCGGAAUUCCCGGUGUAGCGGUGAAAUGCGUAGAGAUCGGGAGGAACAUCAGUGGCGAAGGCGGCCAUCUGGGACAACACUGACGCUGAGGCACGAAAGCGUGGGGAGCAAACAGGACUAGAUACCCGCGUAGUCCCUGUCUCUUAUAC